AACGAACGCUGGCAGUAUGCUUAACACAUGCAAGUCGAACGGGCAUAGCAAUAUGUCAGUGGCAAACGGGUGAGUAAUGUAAAGGAAUCUCCACAGCAGUAAGGGAUAACUUCGAGAAAUCGAAGCUAAUACCAUAUAACAACCUUCGGGGGAAAGAUUUAUCGCUGUUGGCUGAGCCUUUAUCGGAUUAGCUAGUUGGUAGGGUAAUGGCCUACCAAGGCGAUGAUCCGUAGCUGGUCUGAGAGGAUGAUCAGCCACACUGGAACUGAGACACGGUCCAGACUCCUACGGGAGGCAGCAGUGGGGAAUAUUGGACAAUGGGCGCAAGCCUGAUCCAGCAAUACCGCGUGAAUGAUGAAGGUCUUCGGAUUGUAAAGUUCUCUUAGUGAGGAAGAUAAUGACGGUACUCACAGAAAAAGCACCGGCUAACUUCGUGCCAGCAGCCGCAGUAA
rnacentral:rRNA from 1 species